rnacentral:lncRNA from 1 species
GAGGGCCACACCCUGAAAGUUCCCAGGCUAGGCAUCCGAUUGGAGAGGCACCUGCCGGCCUACACCACAGCCACAGCAACGCACGAGCCGAGCCACAGGUGCGAACUACACCCCAGUUCAUGGCAAAGCCAGAUCCUUAACCCACUGAGGGAGGCCAGGGAUCAAACCCACAACCUCAGGGUUCCUAAUCGGGUUUGUUACUGCUGAGCCACAGCGGGAACUCUGAUAUCGAUUAUGAAAUGAGUUUGUGAGGGCAAGUUACUCAAGAUCCGGCACUUAAGAGGGGGCGUGUUUUCGGCUACUCUUAUCUGGGAGAGGUUCUAGGUAGUCUGUGGAGCGAAUCAAGGCUCCUGGCUUUUGGUAAAGGCACUACUAGAACAUAUUAACUUCUUCUUCUUUUUUAUUUUUUUCUCUUUAGGGCCGAACCCGCAGCAUAGGGAGGUUCCCAGGCUAGGGGGUCCAAUCAGAGCUGCACCUGCAGGCCUACACCACAGCCACAGCAACGCUCGAUCCAACCCACAUCUAUGAACUAUGCUGCAGUAUGUGGCAAUGCCGGAUCCUUAACCCACCGAGCGAGGACAGGGAUCGAACCCUCAUCCUCAUGGACACUAGCCUGGUUCGUAACCCGCUGCGUCACCACGGGAGCUCCAAUUUCUCCUUAUUCUAAAUGAAUAAAAUGCCUGCCUGGGGUCCGGAUCCCGGGCAAGUGCUAAACUGCCCUUAAAUUUCCACACACUGUUUCUAACUCUCCGCAUGGUCCUUCGGGGAAAGCCAGGACAUGACUUUUGCUAUUUUCAGUGUGGUCAGGAAGAACUUGACAGCGUCUCUUCUCUUUUCCCUCCCCUGCUUCUUUCUCUCUCUUCCUUGCUGUAUUUCUCUGCAGUGUAUCCAUUGUCUGCCUCUGGUGCUCUUUGAGUGAAGACUGAUGAGAAAGCCUGCAUCCCCACGACCUGACAGACCAUAGACCGUCUCCCACCCCCGUUUCUCUCCUCCGGCCCUCUACUGAGUUUGCCAUCUCCAGAAAUGUCCUCUUAGACAGAAUAUAUCUUUAGAGUGUAGAUUCAGAGAGCAUCAGGAAAAACAAGGACGAAAAGACAGUUGUUAUUCUUUAAGUUAUGAGAGAUCUAGGGAAACGUGAGAGGAGUCCUCUCAGGCACAUGGUCAGCAUGUAAGCUUUUUGUCACCAAAUGUGUCAUUUGAGAUGGGAACAGAAAUUGCUAUGGAUCACAUGGCCAUGUUCAUCUGAAAACAAGAGGACUGGGCAUCAAGACUGUCCCCUAUCUUCAUCCACACCUGAAUUGUGGACCAGGUCCCUUCUCCUCCUUCCUUCAUCCCUCCAAUAAUCUACUUAAAUCAAGCAAGGACCGAAAAGAGGGGGGGAAAAAAACCCCAACCUGGAGCUCUCUCUUUCCCCAUUUGCAAUCCAGGUCACGAUGGCUCCAAAACUCUUGCUGUUGGGAAUAGCCGUGAGUUCAAAUUUUGUGCAGAGUGGCUAUGUGCCAGGUGUAGAAAUAGGGCUGUGAUAAUAGGCUGGGUCUCUUGAGUAGCACAGCUGGGGUUCAAAUUCUAAGUCCUCCGCUUACUAGUAGCUUGUGCAAUGUCACAGGAAUCAACCUCUAGGGUUAGUCAGUUCCCCUUUUUGGACCUCGACAGCCUCCUGAAUGAUGCAGGUCAAUGCCUGAGCUGGGGGCACUAGUGUGAGGAUACGUGAAUUAAAUCAUGCUAAGCCCUUGGAAGAAAGCAUGGCAAAUACGCAGAGCUCCACGAACGUCUGCAAAAUGACUUUGCAUUUAACCCUUGGAAGAGCCUGUCCAGUUCGAUACUGGUUGUUUUUCCACUUUGCAAUGAGCCUCGGGACGUUUGGCUCUCCUCUGGCCCCUGGAAACAGCCGGCCCCAAAGACUGCAGCAGACAGACACACAGGGGAGCACCUGCCCAUAGGAUCAAAGAGCUGCACCUGCGUCAUGUGACCUGAGUCUUGUCCUCUGAACUGAAGAUCAGAGGGCCACCAGCACAAAAGACCUGGCUGGCGGUCAAAGGGAGCCCAGGGUACAAUAGGUUGCCAACAGCCCUCUGCUGGGGGCUUGAUAUAUGUAUAUUUUUCCCCCCACCAGUGCCGGAAGCAGCUUAGUAGUCUUGCAAAUCGCUACCACUGGCCAUGAACUAAGCCAGCCUGGACAUCUCUCUUAGGUUCUCCUCUCAUUUCACCUGUAAAAGCUGACGGUAAAAUUAGAUCACCCCCUCCUUAAAUUCUGUGAUGCUCCAGCCUGUGACUUACCUAAGUCAGGGGGUCAGUACCUCUUCCAAGUUUAUAUCCUGUCUACCCCGCCCAGAAGGGCUGUCCCUGGAGAGGUCUUCUGUCAUCCUCAGAAUAGAGAGCAUUUGUGCCCAGGUCUCUCUCUCCUUUUUUUUUUUCCCAUUUCUCUUUCUCUUCCUUGUCCUCCCCUUCUCUUCCCCUUCCUCCUCCCCCUUCCCCCCCUGCCCCUCUCGUCCUGCUUCUCUCUCUCUUUUUCUUUCUCUCUCUCAAUUCCUUCUCAUUAGCUAAGCUCAAGAUUUAGUAAACAUAAGAGGCAACUGAGAGGCGGGCAGAAGAGGAGAAAUAAUAGCUCUCUGCAAAGUGGGACUCUAGCCCAGGAACUACAUGUUUCCUUCGAAACCUCUAUUUUAGCUCAACAGCCGUGAAACACAGAAAGGCCAGCUCGGCACCUACGGCCACUUGCCUCCCCAGCGCACAGGGCGGCAGAAAACACCGCCUGUCUAUUGUUGGUGUUUUUUUUCUGUGACCAAAGCACAGACCCUCUUGUCAGCAAGGCAACUUGCAUAAUGCUUUAUUUGCAGCGAGAAGUGAGGUGCCCCGCGGGGGCUCCUGAACCUUUGUGCACACAAAUGGAACAUUCUGAAUGUGCCUCUUCUCAAUUACCCCCUCCAACCUGCAAACAUGUGGCGUGUGUGUGGGAGGGAAGAGGAUUGAGCAGGCUGAGCCUCUUCGGCACCAAUUCUUUCCGACGAAAAGAACUGCAGGGCUGGGCUGGAGGGGGAGAAUUCUUGAAACUUUUCCACUCUGUCUUGGGGAGAAAGGAACGGAGGAGAGAACUUCCGAGCUGCGUGGAACCCAUCCUUCACCGGGGAUGUGGGUGGAGGGAGGGAGAAAGAGGUUCGAGUAGCCCCUGAGUCAAAAUGGAAAUGCAACCAAAAUCUUUCUCUAACUCCUUCCCUUUCGCUCAGGUCUUAACACCCAUGAAAUCUGCUGGCUUGAUGACCAUUUGCUCUGGAUGAGAGGAAGCGAAAAGCCUGAGGGUUGCAAUCCCAGACCCUAUCCCUCAGCUUGAAUUUUUCAGGCACAGCCAACGUGCACACUCUGGGAGUUCCCGCUGGAGCACCGCGGAAAGGAACCCGACCAGUAUCCAUCAGGAUGCGGGUUCGAUCCCUGGCCUCGCUCAGUGGGUUAAGGAUCCAGCAUUGCCGUGAGCUGUGGUGUAGGUUGCAGACGCGGCUCGGAUCCCACGUUGCCGUGGCUGUGGGGUAGGCCGGCAGCUACAGCUCUGAUUGGACCCCUCGCCUGGGAACCUCCAUAUGCCGCAGAUUUAUGUAACUCCUUCUCUUAGUCAGAAAGAGAGGGAGCCGGAGCCCCCUUCAAUGGUGGCCGAGUUCCUUUUCAGGGGGAGGGGAAAGGAGAAACGAGGAGAAAACUAAAGGAUGCAAAAAAGGGCCCGACGUUCUGGUUCUCCCAGUGAACCUCAUUAUUGGGUCAUUGGCCUUCUUUGGGGAACAGAAUCAUAAGGUUUCAGAGCUGCAGGAACACAUCAAAGUUCCCUUGCCAAAAAUGGCUUCCCCCCCAUCCAACAAGGCCAAGGAUAUCUGUGGGGAUAACGUUAACGACGGACCGGCUCUGAAAGGGGGAGUGUCCUGGGAAAUCAAGACGUUAAAACCUUUCAUUUUACAGCCUUGCAAACUAUGUUUGAAUCACACUGAUAAGCAGAGAAUGAGGAAGCUUUCACAAUGGCACAGCUUUAGAUUCCUCCCGCCACUAGCACACUGCCUGCGGGAAUCAUGUACAAAGGUGCCCAUUAAGAGAGUGAAAAGACCGGGAAACAGGAUGCAAAGGGCGUGGGGAGGAGGGGCUGUCUAUACACACAUGGACCCAUUAAGCAAUUGCACGGGUAUUUCAACAAUAGCUGUGCUCUGGAGUCUAGACCACGGGCAGCAGGCAUGGCCUUGCUGGCAUUUGUCAAAUCGAUUCAGUAUUGAAGCUACCUUUCUGCUCCCAUGAACCCAUCACUGCCAAAGGAGUUCACCAGUCUGCAGCAGCGCUGUGGGUGUAAUGAUGUGACCUGUUAUCCUCCUGUCUCCCCACCCUUCCCCAAGGUCCUUGGCAAGCAUCUGUCGGUGUCACCAACUGUCCUGGUUGGCAUGGGCUGAUGGGUUUCCUGGGAUGGGGACCCUUCAGUUUUAAUGGCUGGGAUGGUACCUGGGCAAACUGGGACAGGUUGUUGACCCAACCUAUUACCUGUUCUUCCUCUACCCUCUGCUGUUUGCCCGUAGCUAGGUCUAACUAGCACAAAUGAGGCAGAAUAUUAACUCAGGGAGUUGGCAUGGGAGCAUGGGCUUCCAUGCAUUCUUUGCUACGGCCAUUGAUGAACAUUUGUGACUUGAGGGCUCCAGGGAGUAACAGCCCCACAGGCCUUGUUGACUACAGGGAGUGUACCUGCGCCCAGAUGGACACUAAUCCCUAAUCCCCUGUGACUCAGUUUACAGGGAAAGAAGAGGGCAAAGAAACUAGGAGACUUACGGGACCUUUCCACCCCUCGGACCCUAUUGGACAAGGACGAUAUAGGUCAUUGAGCAAGGCCAAUGGGAGAAAACCCCAUCUUUCUGGAUCCCACGUUGUGACCCCCCCCUUUUUAAGAGAUAAAAGUCCUGACUGGACCACAGAGAAAGGGGGCUCUUCGCCCCCUCCCAGCAGGCUUGGGAAGUAUGUGCUUUCCUUUAAUAAAGACUCUGCUUGCUUGCUGCCUGUGGGUUCACGGAGUUCAUUCUUCGACGGCCGUGAACAAGAACCCGGAUUCCGGCACCAUCUUUCCGGCGUCACUAACACACCAAACUUAGUUGUUUGGACAGAAACAAUCAUCAUUCAGUCAAUGACACAAAUUAGAGACUCAAGAACAAACAAUGCUUAUAAAAUACUGGGCUAUACAAAUCAAACCUGAAAUCCUUUAAACUACUGGAGAAACCCACAAUGGAAACUAAGUCCUACAAGCUCAUCUGCAGAGAGCUCCAUGUUUAUCUCAUGAUUGAUCAUCUGAUCUUUCCAAAAGAACUCAUUAGCCUAAGGAACUCCUUCUUAGAAUUGAAGCCUCAGUGUUGGUGGGCGGAAGGCCAGUCUGUGUUGCAAAUGAUGACUGACAUAGAUGCAACUGCAGGACCAGCUCACACCAGUCCUACUCUGUGGAUAAAAGAGCUCUAGUUGACCUGCAGACAGAGCAGAGCAGACUUACCUAAAACUGGAAGUCAUAACCUAGGCAGGCCCAGAGGAGAAAGCCUUCCUCAAACAACACUCAACCCUGCAGAACCAAGAAAACGGCAACAUGACCCAAACCCCUUCAGAAAUGAGCAGUCCAUUGCCCAGGAAGAAAGGGUGCCGAAAUCCACCCUCCCACACCCCAGGCCAAGUUUAAAGCCCUCCAUUGGAAACCUUCCCCACCUCACACUUGCCCGUCCUUCCUAACUCAUGAAAGUUGGACUGGACCCCAGAUCUGAGAGACAGAUUGGAACCCUGUCUCCUUGCCAGGUGACCUGCAAUAGGACUUCCUUUCUCAAAGGCCAGUGCAAUAGGACUGGCUUUUAUGUGCUCUGGGCCACAAGUCCUUGCUGAGUAACACACAUGGUAAAGGUUCCAACGUCACAGCUUCUCUACCUGCACUGUUGGUUAGUAAGUGGGGUUGACAAUGACGUAACUUUAGCAUUCAUAAAUCCCUUUCAUGGAUUAUCAAGAGUCCCCAAUUAAUGGUGAAAAUUGGGGUACAGGGAGCUGGAAUGACUUGCUCAAGGACACAGAUGGUAAGGGUGGAACCCAUGUCUUCCAAAGCAGAGGUCAUUGUUCUGUCCAUGGCACCAUAGUUGUUUCAGUUGCACAUGUUAUAAAGUGUAUGAGUACCUACUACAUACUAGUAUAGAUGUAAGUAUGCAUUAACUAUGUAUGUGUAAAGUUAUGUAUAUUUAUAUACACAUUUAUAUGUGUUUACAAAUUUGUACUAUGUGUACAUAUUAUAUAUUUCCAUAUUUAUUUCAAGUGCCAAAUUACAUGGACGUUCCCAGGCUAGGGGUUGAAUCAGAGCUGCAGC